rnacentral:rRNA from 1 species
CACGGGGGGAGCAAGCGUUGUUCGGAAUCACUGGGCGUAAAGGGCGUGUAGGCGGUUGGGUAAGUGGAAUGUGAAAUGCCCCGGCUCACCCGGGGACCGGCAUUCCAUACUGCCUAGCUCGAGUAUGGGAGAGGAUGAGGGAAUUCCUGGUGUAGCGGUGAAAUGCGUAGAUAUCAGGAGGAACACCGGUGGCGAAAGCGCUCAUCUGGCCCAAUACUGACGCUGAGGCGCGAAAGCUAGGGGAGCAAACAGG